AACCACCGCUCAGGGACGAUGAUGCCUCUCACACCAACAGCACUGCAGAUAAUCAGGAGUCUGAGGAAGAUCCAAAGUGACUCUAAUGACAUAGAAAACACUGUUAGAACCAUCAGAGACCUCAGCCUGCACAAGUCUGCACAUAGAGCCACACAACGCUCUACUGUUUACUACCAACCACUUCAGGUCACAUAUUGUAUACAGGCCAGUCAUACCUCCACACUCAGGUUUGUUUACAAUAAAAGUACUUUAGUGUGUGUUUUACAUUAUAUUGUUUUCCCUGUGUAACAUUCCCUUCAGGCUCCUGAUCAUUCCAGCAUACCGAUGGAGAUACAGUAGUGAUUGUUGAUUGUCUAUUCGCUCUGUAUUUUCUCUGCCAGUUUUUUCUACUUUUUCUGAUGAAUUUUGGGCUUAAAGUCUUAAUAGCAUUUGAAUUUAUAACGUGGACUCUUUUUAUAUUCUUAUAAUGUAUUGCAUGCAUUGAGAGUGCGGUGGUGGGGCCACAGGGGGGGGUUUGUAAUUGUGACUACAAUAAAGAAACGCUUUGUCUUUGUACUCAUCACAUUGAGAAAUGACUAAGUUUUCAUUAUUUUCC
ensembl:lncRNA